rnacentral:rRNA from 1 species
GGGGAGUACGGUCGCAAGACUGAAACUCAAAGGAAUUGACGGGGGCCUGCACAAGCGGUGGAGCAUGUGGUUUAAUUUGAUACAACGUGCAAAACCUUACCAACCCUUGACAUAUGAACAACAAAACCUGUCCUUAACAGGAUGGUACUGACUUUCAUACAGGUGCUGCAUGGCUGUCGUCAGCUCAUGUCAUGAGAUGUUUGGUCAAGUCAUGUAACGAGCGAAACCCUCGUUUUGUGUUGCUGAGACAUGCGCCUAAGGAGAAAUUGCCACCGAGUGACGUGCCGGCGCUACUACUUGAUUGAGUGCCAGCACGUAUCUAUGCUUUCAGCAAGAAUUUCACCAUUGGGAGCCGGUGCCUUCCCAAGCAGUUUCACGUGUGAAACGAAGUCUUCUUGCCCAAGACCCACGAAGACCUACCUAUAGUGACGUUAAAGUACCAGUGAGCAUGGAGGUUCGGUUGAAAUUGGUUACGACGACGUCGACUUGGCGGCGGAGGAAGACUCGGCAUGAAGGCCAGAAAAUGGUGUGGAAUGUAGUGGUAAUACUACGCACCCCGCUCCGAAUCAAAGAAAAAAGUGCGUGCCGCACUCACGAGUGACUACCAGUGAGAUACUGGAGGAAGGUGGGGAUGACGUCAAGUCCGCAUGGCCCUUAUGGGCUGGGCCACACACGUGCUACAAUGGCAAUGAUAAUGGGAAGCAAGGUUGUAAGGCGGAGCGAAUCCAGAACGAUUGCCUCAGUUCGGAUUGUUCUCCGCAACUCGGGAACAUGAAGUUGAAAUUGCUAGUAAUCGCGGAUCAGCAUGCCGCGGUGAAUAUGUACCCGGGCCCUACACACACCGCCCGUCACACCCUGGGAAUUGGUUUCGCCCGAAGCAUCGGACCAAUGAGCACCCAUGACUUCUAUGUACCACUAGUGCCACAAAGGCCUUUGGUGGUCUUAUUGGCGCAUACCACGGUGGGGUCUUCGACUGGGGUAAAGUCGUAACAAGGUAGCCAUAGGGGAACCUGUGGCUG